UUACGUUAUUGUGCUUAAUUUGCAUAUUUUGGAAAAUGUUUCGAAAUUUCAACUUCACAAAUUUCACCCGAUUUAAAAAAGAAAAUAGUAAUGCAGUUUACUCGCAGUCUAAUGUAUCUAUUUGCUAUGUACAACACACAACUCCUUAUAAUUUUCGUGUUUUGAAAGUGUGUCAUCCGCCGUUGAAAACGACUGUGUUUCAACUGUGCUACGUCGAAAACUAUAUACCAAGUCCAAGAAUAAUUUUAAAAUCAUCAUUCAGCAAUCUCAAUGAUUUGGAGUUUAGUUCGAAAGAAUACAGUGAAAUUAAAAAACUAAAUGCACAAAACUAAACUGUUUAGGAUUUUUAAAUGUAACGAGAAUUCUAGUAAAUCAUAUAUUUAUUGAAACAUUUGAAACAGAUUAAAUUACUGAAUAUCAAGAGUACUCAUUGGCUGACUUGCAGUAUGGUCUGACAAUUGAUAAUAACAGAUAUAUAUUAUCCGGAGCAGUUUUUCAUGAACAUGAUCAUUAUAUAGCGUAUGUACGCCGUGUAAAUACAUGAUGGGAAGUGCACAAAGAUUUGGCAAAAAAAAUUAAAAGUACCCCUAGUUCAACAAAAAUAAAGCCACAUGUAAUUUUAUAUAUGAAAGAGUAAAAAAAAAAGAUGUGUACAUUGGUCCAAAGUCAACUAUAGCAACAAGAGAUGUCUUUUUUUUAAUCAAACAAAAAGACAAAAAGCUUAUAUUUUAUUAUUUUUAAAUUUAUAUUAAGCGUUUGUUACAAGAUAAAUAAAAUGACAUGACUCCAGGAUCCGGCACCAAAAUGAGAAAAAGUCCGCAAAGGAUUGAAACUGUCUGGUGGCGAAAAAUGUUUUUGAUGUAUCGACCUGGCGUUUUAUAAUAAAUGACGAGAACCAUGAAUCACGAUUUCUUACUUUAAUAAUGAAAAAUAAGUAAAGUAAAUUUGAAAUGAAUAAAUUUUAAAGAUCUGAAAAACAUAAUCUAUUUAUUAGCAAAACAAAAUACAAAUUGGUAUUAAUUAAUGUGAGCUCUUAUUUAAUGGCCAUGAGCUUAUAAUAGUCAGUAACCCAUGUUAUGUUCCUACAAAUAUAGUGUAAAAAGAAUUAAUAAAUUAUUAAUUUAUGUUUAUUGUAAUAUUACCAUGUAUUAAGACUGUAAGGGUAAGAAACAAUUAAACUUAUAUUAAAUAGUAGCCCGAUAUAUCUGUAAAAUACUUCUGUAAGUAAUAUAUUUAAAUUGUGUAUUACAUAAUAUAAUUUUAAAUUAUACUAUAAACUCUGCAUACGUAUAAACACACCAAUGUUUGGUAUGAUAUUUGGACUCGAAAUUAUAAAUAAGUUAGCGACUAUUUGCAAAAUGUUAGCAGCAUAUUUCAAUUCGUAGCUCAAAAGGGGGUGUAGCGUGAAGUUGCCCUCCAUCUUAUAUUUUUCAUACCUUGUAGGUAAUUUAUUUGCAAAUUCUGAAAACCAAUUUGCACAUUUUUGCAAAAAAACUUUCAAAAAAAUUGGUCAUGGCGGGGCGGCAAACUUCACGCACAUGGGAGGCCAUACUAUAGCAUAGGUCUUCCGUGGUUGAGACAUCAACAAUUAUUAUCGUACUAUUAGCUGGCGAUUUUAGAAAGACUACUUUUAUAACUAAAGAUACGCAGGCAGAUUAAAACAUGCAUGCUUGUUGAAAAACGUCAACCUUUUCCUUAUAGCAGCGUAUUAGGUAUGUUAAUCAAUUUAGCUUGACAACAAAUUUGAGUGUACGCAAAGUGCACAACGACACCGCAUCGGGGCAAUAAUAUGUGGAUACUCUUAUGUAAAUCGGCGAAUAUCGUAGUCCUACAGAUGCUAACGGUAUGAUUAUAUUAUAUAUUGUUUGUACUUCGUAGUUCGUAGUAUAGAAGAAUUCUGAAUUGUUGAGUAAAGUGUAUGAUGAACUGCAAGCGAAUAUCCAUAGGAAAUAAGAAUGGUUGUGCAACUGCAAAUAUUUUGGCUCUGAAAAUCAAAAUUUUAGGGCAGAUAAAGCCCAUAGGCGGG